CGGCAGGCAAUUGACUGUGGCAGUCGCGGUCGAAGUAACAAGUGAGAAAAAUUGUUAAACUACGAGUGGACCUUAGCAGACGGAGCUCCUGUAGAUGCGAGGGAUGUUCAGAAAAGUUGAAGAACGGAUUCAGCACAUAAAGCAGGUAUUUGCGCCAUGCACCAAUAACAUCCUCGUAGAGAAUCAAGAACGGGUGAAUGCUGUGUUAGCUGACCGCAUUUACGUUUCAACAAAUUUUCAAGAUCUCAUUCAAGAUGAUAUAAAACUGAUCUCUACAAACAGCCGUCAGCUAGUCUAAAAGCAGUAACAAAAAUCAACCUUCUAUAGUCAAGCAUUGAGAGCCUACUUUGUUAUUACUAAGGUACUUCCAACAAAAAAAGGAAAUAGCCGGAGCUUUGAGCAAGAAACAGGUCGAAGGAGUCUUUAGAGUGGUAUCAAAAAGGACACAUCUGGGUCACGCGACAACAACGACAAGAAAGACGUACGCGCGCAUCUUCAGCUAACCUCCAACGGUCUAACCAGGCUCAUAUUUCACUCGUGUUGGCAUGAUAAUUAGUUGAUGGUAAUACAACAAGGUUUAAUAACUCUGUUUAAGUUAAA